CGUUUAGAACAAUCAAACAGUAAACUUUCCAAAGCUUAUUGGGAAAUAUGUAUAACGGGAAGUAUUCAUAAUGAACAAAAUAUGUUUGAUACAGGAUUUGUUCUGUAUCUUAGAAGAAACAUUGUUAAAUCUAUUUGUUAUUUGAAUGUGUUCAAGUUUCCAAAGAUGUUUCAGAGAGUUGGUAUCCUGUCACUCUUGAAUUAGUUAGCAUUCAUACUGCUGAAAGACAUAAUUUGAAUUUGAUUGUUGAUCCAUUUUAUGAUGCUGCCAGUAACAUUAUUCAGUUUGCUAAGACUUGUGAGUUUGUGAAACCUAUUGAUAUUGAUUCGAAAAGAAAUGAUAUAGCCUGUCAUAAUGCAAUCAUAUAGUGAUGCUGAUUGAAUUAAAUUUUUGAUAACAUGGCAAUAUGCUCAACUUAAGGUAUAACUGUUUAAUGGUAUAGCACAGUGAACCCUAUGGACUCGGCGAUGAAGAAACUGGCAUGUCGCACGUAUAUGAUGGUUUCGGAUUAGAAUAACUGGUUAAAAUAUUAUGUUUAAUACUUAAGAAUUUUCUGUAUAUUUAGGGCUGUAUUCAUAGUCUAUGUAGUCUAGGUACAGUCGAUUCUGGUUUAGGAACAGUCGAUUCCAGUCACAGUUAAUAAGAAUAACCGCUUAAUAGGGACAAUUCUUCAAUUACAAAAACAAAUGUAUACUUGUAGGGUAAACGUCCACCGCUCAUCUGGACAACGAAUCCAGAUAGUUAGGGCAUUUUUAUUGAGUAUAUUAAUUGAUAGAUCAAUAGUUUUACAAUUGUAACCGACUCACAUUAUCGAUUAUUAGAUUAAAUUUUAUCUUAUUGUAUGUUUAACCCAUUAACGCCGUGCGUUGCCAUAUGGAAACAUAGAUUUUUUACAUUAAUUUUUAAGAUAUAACAUAUUAUGUUUUCAA